rnacentral:rRNA from 1 species
CUUGCACCGGGUGGAUGAGUGGCGAACGGGUGAGUAACACGUGAGUAACCUGCCCCUGACUUCGGGAUAAGCCCGGGAAACUGGGUCUAAUACCGGAUACGACUGCCGGACGCAUGUCUGGUGGUGGAAAGUUUUUUCGGUUGGGGAUGGGCUCGCGGCCUAUCAGUUUGUUGGUGAGGUAAUGGCUCACCAAGACGACGACGGGUAGCCGGCCUGAGAGGGCGACCGGCCACACUGGGACUGAGACACGGCCCAGACUCCUACGGGAGGCAGCAGUGGGGAAUAUUGCACAAUGGGGGAAACCCUGAUGCAGCGACGCAGCGUGCGGGAUGACGGCCUUCGGGUUGUAAACCGCUUUCAGCAGGGAAGAAGCGCAAGUGACGGUACCUGCAGAAGAAGUACCGGCUAACUACGUGCCAGCAGCCGCGGUAAUACGUAGGGUACGAGCGUUGUCCGGAAUUAUUGGGCGUAAAGAGCUCGUAGGUGGUUGGUCACGUCUGCUGUGGAAACGCAACGCUUAACGUUGCGCGUGCAGUGGGUACGGGCUGACUAGAGUGCAGUAGGGGAGUCUGGAAUUCCUGGUGUAGCGGUGAAAUGCGCAGAUAUCAGGAGGAACACCGGUGGCGAAGGCGGGACUCUGGGCUGUAACUGACACUGAGGAGCGAAAGCAUGGGGAGCGAACAGGAUUAGAUACCCUGGUAGUCCAUGCCGUAAACGUUGGGCACUAGGUGUGGGGGGCAUUCCACGUUCUCCGCGCCGUAGCUAACGCAUUAAGUGCCCCGCCUGGGGAGUACGGUCGCAAGGCUAAAACUCAAAGGAAUUGACGGGGGGCCCGCACAAGCGGCGGAGCAUGCGGAUUAAUUCGAUGCAACGCGAAGAACCUUACCAAGGCUUGACAUACACCGGACCGUCCUGGAAACAGGUCCUCUUCUUUGAAGCUGGUGUACAGGUGGUGCAUGGGUGUCGUCAGCU